UAUUCCCCACUGCUGCCUCCCGUAGGAGUCUGGACCGUGUCUCAGUUCCAAUGUGGCCGUUCAUCCUCUCAGACCGGCUACUGAUCGUCGCCUUGGUGGGCCGUUACCCCUCCAACUAGCUAAUCAGACGCAAGCCCCUCCUUCAGCGAAAGCUCCGAAGAGCCUCCCUUUCUUCUCUCUGCCAUGCGACAAAAAGAACGUAUUCGGUAUUAGCAGCCGUUUCCAGCUGUUGUCCCCAUCUGAAGGGCAGGUUGCUUACGCGUUACUCACCCGUUUGCCACUCGAAUUGAUAAGAAGCAAGCUUCUCAUCUCUUCUCGUUCGACUUGCAUGUGUUAAGCACGCCGCCAGCGUUCAUCCUGAGCCAA
rnacentral:rRNA from 1 species